UUCCGGUUGAUCCUGCCGGACCUGACUGCUAUCGGAUUGAUACUAAGCCAUGCGAGUCUUUGCAGUAAUGCAAGGCAUACGGCUCAGUAACACGUAGUCAACUUACCCUAUGGACGAGGAUAAUCUCGGGAAACUGAGCAUAAUACUCGAUAGAUCAUAAUGCCUGGAAUGGUUUAUGGUUGAAAUGAUUCGUCGCCAUAGGAUGGGACUGCGGCCUAUCAGCUUGUUGGUGAGGUAAUGGCCCACCAAGGCGAUUACAGGUACGGGCUCUGAGAGGAGAAGCCCGGAGAUGGGUACUGAGACAAGGACCCAGGCCCUAUGGGGCGCAGCAGGCGAGAAAACUUUGCAAUGUGCGAAAGCACGACAAGGUUAAUCCGAGUGAUUUCUGCUAAAGAAAUCUUUUGCAAGUCAUAAAACCACUAGUGAAUAAGGGGUGGGCAAGUUCUGGUGUCAGCCGCCGCGGUAAAACCAGCACCUCAAGUGGUCAGGAGGAUUAUUGGGCCUAAAGCAUCCGUAGCCGGCUCUGUAAGUUUUCGGUUAAAUCCAUGUGCUCAACAUAUGGGCUGCCGAAAAUACUGCAUAGCUAGGGAGUGGGAGAGGUAGACGGUACUCGGUAGGAAGGGGUAAAAUCCUUUGAUCUAUCGAUGACCACCUGUGGCGAAGGCGGUCUACCAGAACACGUUCGACGGUGAGGGAUGAAAGCUGGGGGAGCAAACCGGAUUAGAUACCCGGGUAGUCCCAGCUGUAAACGAUGCAGACUCGAUGAUGCAUUGGCAUAUAGCCAGUGCAGUGUCGCAGGAAGCCGUUAAGUCUGCCGCCUGGGAAGUACGUACGCAAGUAUGAAACUUAAAGGAAUUGGCGGGGGAGCACCACAAGGGGUGAAGCCUGCGGUUCAAUUGGAGUCAACGCCGGG
rnacentral:rRNA from 1 species